CCUACGAGUGGCAGCAGUGAGGAAUAUUGGUCAAUGGGCGAGAGCCUGCACCAGCCAAGUCGCGUGAGGGAGUACUGCCCUAUGGGUUGUAAACCUCUUUUGUCGGGGAGCAAAAGCAGGACGUGUCCGGCUGUGAGAGUACCCGAAGAAAAAGCAUCGUCUAACUACGUGCCAGCAGCCGCGGUAAUCCGGAGGAUGUGAGCGUUAUCCGGAUUUAUUGGGUUAAAAGGGUGCGCAGGCGGUUUUUUAAGUCAGCGGUAAAAUCGGGGGGCUCAACCCCAUCCAGCCGUUGAAACUGGGGAUCUAGAGUGUGCGAGAGGUAUGCGGAAUGCGUGGUGUAGCGGUGAAAUGCAUAGAUAUCACGCAGAACCCCGAUUGCGAAGGCAGCAUACCGGUGCACAACUGACGCUCAGGCACGAAAGCGUGGGUAUCGAACAGGAUUAGAUACCCUAGUAGUC
rnacentral:rRNA from 1 species